GUAAGUCUUCUACUAUUACUUUCUUUGUAGUAUGUUUUACGGCAAAUUAUCAAGUACUUUUAAGAAGAGAGGGAUACAUUCAAACUGGUGUAUUCCAUUAUCACUUCACUAGUUUUUGUUGUUUUGGAAAGGAAAUAACGUAAAAGUUGUACUGUGGAUGCUAAUUGCACCAUUUAUGGCUCUUCUGAUGUGAUAAAUGUAACACCCCUUACCCGG
rnacentral:misc_RNA from 1 species